GCCCUCGUAGCUUAGCAGGUUCUCUGAAUAUAAGAGCUGUAAAGAGCGCAUGGCUGUUAACCAUGAGGUCACCAGUUCGAGUCUGGUCGAGGGCG
rnacentral:tRNA from 1 species